UAAGUAUCUGUGAUUGCUUCAACACGAGGUGCUAGCUUAGUUCUCCAAACAAAGUUAGCUCUUUGAAGAAAAGAACAGGAGAUCAUUAUGUGAAGGGAAAAGUGUAGAAGACUCAGGAAAUUCUUCUGUGCAUUACUGUGAUUCCUGAUUGACUUCGGGGCUUGAACACCAGACCAAUACAUACUUGGAG